rnacentral:rRNA from 1 species
UACGGAGGGGGCUAGCGUUGUUCGGAAUUACUGGGCGUAAAGCGCACGUAGGCGGCUUUGUAAGUUAGAGGUGAAAGCCCGGGGCUCAACUCCGGAAUUGCCUUUGAGACUGCAUCGCUUGAAUCCAGGAGAGGUGAGUGGAAUUCCGAGUGUAGAGGUGAAAUUCGUAGAUAUUCGGAAGAACACCAGUGGCGAAGGCGGCUCACUGGCCCGGUACUGACGCUGAGGUGCGAAAGCGUGGGGAGCAAACAGG